AAACGGCUGGGUGGCCCUUGAUCCUAGUCCCUCUCAUCAUCACUUACAUGCACCGCCGAACUAAGCAAGGCUCCCAUGCCAAGCUCUUCUUCAUGAAACCUCCUCUGUUCGUAGCCUCCGCUGUUAUCGGUGUCCUCACCGCCCUCGAUGACUACCUCUACGCUUAUGGCGUAGCAAAACUGCCCGUUUCAACAAUUGCUCUCAUCAUCGCAAGCCAGCUCGCUUUCACAGCAGCCUUCGCAUUCCUCUUAGUGAAACAAAAGUUCACCUCAUACUCCGUAAAUGCCAUAUUUCUCUUGAGUAUUGGUGCUGGUGUCUUGGCUCUACACACUAGCUCCGACCGCCCUGCUAAUGAGUCCAACAAAGAAUAUUACCUCGGGUUUUUCAUGACACUUGCAGCUGCAGCGCUCUAUGGUUUCAUUCUCCCCCUGGUUGAAUUAACAUACAAGAAAGCAAAGCAGGCAAUAACCUACUCACUGGUCAUGGAGAUUCAAAUGGUGAUGUGCUUCUUCGCCACCUUCUUUUGCACAGUGGGGAUGCUGGUUAAUAAUGACUUUCAGGUGUAUUCCUCUUUUCUAUCCACCCAGUUACCUUUAACACAUUCAACCAGAUAGAACCACCAAAAACAAAGAUUGAUAAUUUAUGUUUGCUUCUUCCUCAUUUAAUUUUGUAGGCAAUUCCCAGAGAGGCAAAAGAAUACGAGCUUGGAGAAGCUAAAUAUUAUCUGGUGGUGGUAUGGAAUGGGAUCAUGUGGCAGUGCUUCUACUUAGGAGCAAUAGGAGUCAUCUUUUGCGCUUCAUCUUUGGUAGCCGGUAUUGUGCUUGCUGUCCUACUCCCCGUGACUGAGAUCUUGGCUGUUAUUUUCUUCCACGACAAAUUUCAAGCAGAGAAGGGGGUUUCACUUGCUCUCUCUCUUUGGGGUUUUGUUUCAUACUUCUACGGCGAGAUAAAGGAUAGCAAGAAAAAGAAGAAUCCCACUCCGGAGACGGAGCUGCCUCAAACAGUCAAUCCAUGAUAAACAAAUGUCUUUCUUUUCCCCACAGAAGAGGGGGGACAGGAUUCGCAUAUAAGCAUUUACUAGGGAAUUUAAAGAAACACUUCAUCUGUAUGUUACAGGCAGUUCAUAACCAAGACUAAAGUGGGUUUCUUUCCAGUUUUGAGAUGAAGGAAUUCCAAUAAAAUAUGGACUGUAAGGUCAAGGCGUGCUAAAUGUGAAGUCGAUACAGAGUGGGAAAAUAUGACAUAUUUUGAGACUUAAUAGUCAUAUCCAAUUUCUAUUAUCUAUAAUAUUAUAUAGUAUUAUAAAAUAAUCUCUCUCAUCCUUGGAUAUGGUUAAACUAUGUUAAAAUUUGAGUAUUCUGUUUAUGGUUGGUUUUAUCUCUGUAUGUUCUUAUUACAGCUUCCACUUAACACAUCAACUUAGUAUUAAAACCUUGGUUGAAUAUUUUUUAGAAGAACCAAAGAUAAUAGAAGAUUGUGGUCCAUGAAAAAAACCCUAACACACACUAUCAAUGUACAAUAGUGUAUACCAUAAAUAAAUAAAAAAGAAGAAAUAUUCACUUAAACGAAAUUUUUAACAGUAGAAAUGGUUGAAAAAUGCUUCCAAUUCCUAAAGAAUAUUUUAAAUAUUGAUUGGGAACUUGCAACAUUUCCCAAUAUUAGAAUCAAUAAGGAAACGGUCUUACUGAGAAAGAAUUGAAGUCAUCGUCAUCCAGGCAAGAUGAUGGGCCAUUAAGGUUAGGUUGGGAUCAAGAGAAGCUGGAUAUGGAUUGUUUUGUUAAUCCAGUAUAACUUAAAAGCUUAAUUAAGUUAUGUAAUAGUGGACCAACAGUGCACUUUGCACUGAUUUGGGUUACAUGUUAGGGUCGUAGCCCAAGUAGGUUGAUAUAUGAUGGUGGACCAACAACUGCAUGCGAAUGAAUGGCUAUGUGAAUUUCCUAAGACUCGGUUCAUUUCAACUUCUACUGAUUGCAUCGAAACUUUCGGGAAGAAUUGGCGUAUGGAUCUUCCCUAAAUGGGUGUUGACGCCGCCAAAAUAGGCACCUCCAAAUACAUGGCCUUAAGCCACCUACAGCAUAGCCGCCCAAGACGCAAGCAUCUGUAGCUAUCCAAAACGAGCUCGGCUAAAAAUAAGUGCCUGCAUAUGAGAUAUGACUCACAUCCAGGACUGGCAGGUUGACCGAACUGACCCUCAAAAGAAGGCCUCACCAACUCUUAAACAUUAUCGGAACAGGCUGGCAGGCUUUAACACAUGCCCUAACCAUAUAAACGUAAAAAAAAAAAAAAAGAAAAAAAAAAAGAAGAAGAUCAUAAUAAGACAAAAAGGGGAGAAAGAAAUUCUCUCGUCUACAGGUGUCGAAGCUUCAUUCAACACAGAGUUGUAAGAUUACCAAUGUUGGGUGCAGACCUAUCCUUUCUAGUUAUCUCCGCCGGUGAAGCUUGAGGAGGAAAAACAAACCACAAGGUCAUUUCGAUACUCUACUCUUUAGGCUUUACCUGGACACUAAGAAGAUAAUCAAAGAUUACAAAGCAGAAUAUGAGGAGGGAGGUUUGUGGUUUGGUACGUAUUGUAGCUUCAGAUUUGGUCUGUCCCAUAGAGUAAAAGUGAUGGUCCCCAGUUCAAAGCAACGAGGUAAGAGUUUUAUCACUGAAUUUGCUGGAUUUAGAAGGAUUCAUCGUUUCAAUAUGACGCCACUUAUUUAUUGUUUCGGGGUAUUCCAGGCAUGCUCUUGCUUACAAUUCCAAGACAAACGCAUCUCUUUAGAGGCACUGUCCUUGAGAAAUGGUAAAGUUCCUCCAAGCUGUGAGAAAAUCCAAGGGGUUUUUCCCGAGGAUUCUCCAUGUAUGGCCCCGUUGGGUUGAACCGUACGGGUUAGAAGGUGGAGUGGACUGAGUUGGCUCAACCAUCUUGGAAUAUGGAUUCAGCGUCAAGGAUUCGGCUGCACCAUGUUGGAGAUGGACUGACUGGCCCAUGUGUUCUGUAAGGGAGUCCAAUGGGCACCCAUGCAAUAAAAGCCCGUGUGACGUGCUCUUGGAGAUCAAAACAUGAUCCGUACAAUACAACUUACUGCCGACCUACGCCACAGGUCGUGGCGCUGGCACCCGUAGGGUCUAGAGACCACAUAUUCAAACUGAUAAUUACAGUAUUCAUUCCUGUCACCAAUUUCGAAAUGGCCCACCCAAGAAACAUGUGGAGCUUUCACCCAAAAUAUUGCGUUUUAAAAAAAAAUUUCAAAAAAUAAAGUUGUUUUAAAAAUAAUGUACGAUGUAAUAAAUAUAUACCACAUAAGCUGUCAUGGCAUAAAACUGUAGUUGAUGACUACGGUUUUAUUUUUUUAAAAUGGUUAGAAACCGUAGUUACCAACCACGGUUUUAACUUUAAGUUUAAAGCCGUAGUUGGUGACUACGGCUUUGACAUUUUUUUAAAAUGGUCAAAGUCAUAGUUACCAACUACGAUUUUAACUUUAUAUAUAUUUAUAUAUAACUUUAAUUUUUUUAAUAAAAAUAUUAUAUUAUUUUGAUUUUAAAUAUACUUAUUUCAUUAUUUUAAAAAUAAUAAUAUAUGAAAUUAAAUAAAUGAUAUUUUUAAUUUGAUAUAAAUAUAUUUUUAAAUUUUAUUAAAAUAAUAUAUUCUAUAUUUAAUAUAAAUAUAUUUAUUUAAUUAUAUUUAAAUAUAAAUAAAAUAUAAUAAAUUAUGAAAGCCUAUUAAAAAACAAAUAAUAUAAAUUAUUAUAUUAAUUAAUAAUUUUUUAUAUACUAUAUGUAAGUGGUAUAUAAUGUCACAUGUAUAUAAGUUCAAUUAAGUUUAAAAUUUAUCAUAUUUUAAUUUAAGUUCAUAAUAUUAUAUCGAUAUGAUAAUAAUUUAUUUAUAUAUUUAAAUAAAUAUGCUAAAUUUUAAACUUAAAUUAAAAUUAUAUAUAUAUAUAUAUAUGUGUGUGUGAUAUUAUAUACUAUUUACAUAUAAUAUAUAAAAAAAUUAUUAAUUAAUAUAAUAAUUCAUAUUAUUUUUUUCUCCAAAUAGGCAUUUAUAAUUUAUUUAUUUUAAAUAAACAUAAUUUAUUAUAUUUCAUUUAUAUUUAAUUUUAAUUAAAUAAUUAUAUUUAUAUUAAAUAUAGUGUCAAUUGUUUUAAUAAAAUUUAUUUAUAUAUUUAAAAAUAAUGUGAUAAAUUUUAAACUUAAAUUAAACUUUUAUAUAUAUAUAUAUAUAUAUAUAUAUAUAUAUGUGUGUGAGAGAGAGAGGUAUUAUAUACCACUUAUAUAUAAUAUAUAAAAAAAUUAUUAAUUAAUAUAAUAAUUUAUAUUACUUUUUUAUUUUUCUAAAUAGGUAUUUAUAAUUUAUUUAUUUUAAAUAAAUAUAAUUUAUUAUAUUUUAUUUUAAUUAAUUAAUUAUAUUUAUAUUAAAUAUAGUGCCUAUUGUUUUAAUAAAAUUUAAAAUAUAUUUUUAUAUCAAAUUAAAAAUAUCAAUUAUUUAAUUUCGUAUAUUAUUAUUUUUAAAAUAAUAAAAUAAGUAUAUUUAAAAUCAAAGUAAUAUAAUAUUUUUAUUAAAAAAAUUAAAAUUAUAUAUAAAUAUAUAUAAAGUUAAAACCGCAGUUGGUGACUACGGUUUUGACCAUUUUUAAAAAAAAAAAUCAAAGUCGUAGUCACUAACUACGACUUUAAACUUAAAGUUAAAACCGUGGUUGGUAACUACGGUUUCUAACCACUUAAAAAAAUAAAACCGUAGUCACCAACUACAGUUUUAUGACAUGGCAGUUUAUGUAGCACAGACGCAUUAGAUCGGUCAUUAUUUUCAAAGCAAUUUUAUUUUUUGGAAUUUUUUUUUAAAACACACUAUUUUGGGUCAAAGCUCAAUGGCCAUCAAACGGGGAAUCACGUGAUGAGAAAUUGAAGAGAAGAAUUAAAAACAAAAAAUAAAUAAAAAGAAGAAAAGGAAAGGUCAAUACCCCUCAAUCAGUUUCAAGAAAAGGGCAUGUGUUAUGAGCAAUGCACUGAAACGCGAACCAUUUCAGCCCUCCAAAGGACAACACAAGUUAAUAGCCCGUGUGGUCCCAACCUUCUGGAAAUACGAUUCCUCCCACCAAAUCUUGGUAAUCAAAAUAAAAUGGGUUAUCAUCUUCAACUGCUUUGCAUGCCUAAUGAACAUUGUUUUCGAUUACCAGUAUAGUUAGUUCUCUCAUUAACAUUUCUUCAGGAUCAAGGAUAUUGUUUUCAUUGACUUGCUCCUAUUUUGCAUUUGUUGAUGGAGAUACACAACGCACACACAUUAAUCCUAAUCUUAAAAAAUGGUAUUAAAUCUGUUCAAGGAAGCUAAGCAGGAAGAGCAUAAAACCUUGCAUUCACAGCAUUGUCGAUUUGUGAUUUAGCCCGGAUGCUUCUGAAAGCAUUAUGGAUAGGUUCGAAGCCCUCAGAAAUUAGACUAAUGCCAUGUUUACGUCAUCAUUACUAGCUUUCACACCAAAAUUCCAAAAAGAUAAACGCUAUGGUAUUAGUUUAAUGUUUAUCUCAUUGCCACCACACUAGUCAUCUAGAAGGUUUUACUGCUUUGAAUGGCUGCACAGGGUUUACACAAUAGAAGUAAAAAAAUGGGGCCUCUUCGCUGAAGCAUAAUUGGACUCUUGUGAGUCUAACCAUUAAUCUGGAACUGGAAAGCUGCCCUCUUUUAUUUAACUCCUAUAAUGAAGAUAAUGAUCCGAGACAUCAAUGUUUUCAACGAAAACUGGAUCGCUACACUUGGAUGUCCAGCAAAUUUUCAAUUUAAAUAAUGUACAAGACAAUCAAGGAGGUGAAAAAAAUUGAUGAAGCGAAUCAACAGUUUCUGAUACCAAUUUCAGGCACAUACGGCAUGUGCAAAUAUCUAGAUAUUUUAAUCCCAAAUAAAAUAAUGGUUCCUUUUUUCGUUUUCUUUUGUUUGACGUAUGCAUCAGGAACGGAACAUAUCUUAUAUUAUUUUGAUUCCAAAUUUCAAAUGAAGACGAGAUUCCAUAACUGAAUUGUCAACACGACCUUUGGGACUGAUGAACCUUAUUCAAACAAUGAUGAAAGGCAAAUUUUUGUAUUGAUAUAAUACAACUAGCCAACUGUAUGGGUGUAAGGAUCAAGGAAGACUAGGAAAUUUCGAAGGAUGAGACUACAACCCCAUCAGAAUGCCUUCUGGACCCACACUAUUUUAGUUCGUGGCAGUCAAAUCGCAAUAUAAUAGACGUAGGGAAGGACCCAAUGUUAUCACUAUAAUUGACUCUUAUUUCGUCGUCAUGCACCGCCUCAAAAAACCCGAAUUCCUCUUGGCACUGCGACUUCAAGGGAGAAGGAGAAGGAGUAGGAGAGGGGAGAGGGGAGAGGGGAGAGGGAGGGAGAGCUACCAACCGAACAGUGGAGAUGGAAGCUCAGCUGAGCAGCAACAUGAGGAAGGCUCUGCUGGUUCUGAAUUGUGUCAUUCUCUCAAUUGGAAACUGCGGUGGUCCCAUGGUGAUGCGCCUGUAUUUCGUCCGUGGCGGCGAGAGAAUAUGGUUUUCCAGUUGGUUGGAAACGGCUGGGUGGCCCUUGAUCCUAGUCCCUCUCAUCAUCACUUACAUCCACCGCCGAACCAAGCAAGGCUCCCAUGCCAAGCUCUUCUUCAUGAAACCUCCUCUGUUCGUGGCCUCCGCUGUUAUCGGUGUCCUCACCGGCUUCGAUGACUACCUCUACGCCUAUGGCGUAGCAAAACUGCCCGUUUCAACAUCUGCUCUCAUUAUCGCAAGCCAGCUCGCUUUCACAGCAGCCUUCGCGUUCCUCUUGGUGAAACAAAAGUUCAC
rnacentral:lncRNA from 1 species